GACGAACGCUGGCGGCGUGCUUAACACAUGCAAGUCGAACGGAAAGGCCCUGCUUUUGUGGGGUGCUCGAUUGGCGAACGGGUGAGUAACACGCGAGUAACCUGCCCCUGACUUUGGGAUAACUUCAGGAAACUGGGGCUAAUACCGGAUAGGAGCUCCUGCUGCAUGGUGGGGGUUGGAAAGUUUCGGCGGUGGGGGAUGGACUCGCGGCUUAUCAGCUUGUUGGUGGGGUAGUGGCUUACCAAGGCUUUGACGGGUAGCCGGCCUGGGAGGGUGACCGGCCACAUUGGGACUGAGAUACGGCACAGACUCCUAGGGGAGGCAGAAGUGGGGAAUAUUGCACAAUGGGCGGAAGCCUGAUGCAGCAACGCCGCGUGCGGGAUGACGGCCUUAGGGUUGUAAACCGCUUUCGCAUGUGACGAAGCGUGAGUGACGGUAAUGUGUAAAGAAGCACCGGCUAACUACGUG
rnacentral:rRNA from 1 species